AACGAACGCUGGCGGCAUGCCUAACACAUGCCAGUCGAACGAGACCUUCGGGUCUAGUGGCGCACGGGUGCGUAACGCGUGGGAACCUGCCCUUAGGUUCGGAAUAACUCCCCGAAAGGGGUGCUAAUACCGGAUAAUGUCUUCGGACCAAAGAUUUAUCGUCUUUGGAUGGGCCCGCGUUGGAUUAGCUAGUUGGUAGGGUAAAAGCCUACCAAGGCGACGAUCCAUAGCUGGUCUGAGAGGAUGAUCAGCCACACUGGGACUGAGACACGGCCCAGACUCCUACGGGAGGCAGCAGUGGGGAAUAUUGGACAAUGGGCGAAAGCCUGAUCCAGCAAUGCCGCGUGAGUGAUGAAGGCCUUAGGGUUGUAAAGCUCUUUUACCCGGGAUGAUAAUGACAGUACCGGGAGAAUAAGCUCCGGCUAACUCCGUG
rnacentral:rRNA from 1 species